UGGCGUCCAGCGUGGGGCUUGAGAACAGGGCACCUCAUGAGGGACGCUGUUCGUGGGCCCAAAGUAGAAAAAGGAAAGGAAAAUAGAGGACCUGGCGACAUGGGAGUCUGCCAUGCCGCUGAACCGCGGUAAGCGAACAGCGAUUAUGGGACAAGAAAUUAGCCAGCAUGAGAUUUUUGUUAAAAGUUUAAGAAAGACCUUAAAGAUGCAAAGAGUAAAGGAAAAAAAAUGAAGCAAUUGUCCAUUAGGGCUUAAUAAACUUU
rfam:Cavia porcellus supercont2_90 genomic scaffold, whole genome shotgun sequence.